CUGACUGGUGCGAGGGAGCCGCGCGGUGGAGGCACCAGGUGGGCUAUGACGGCAGUAGGCAGCGGCCCCAGGGAACCGAGUCUGCUCAGCCCUGGCAGUCUGAAGGGGAAUUGGGCCUGGGAAGGAAAUAUACUCCCCACCCCAGGACUCAAUGUUCCCUUUCAUUUCAUUUCUCUCUCCUGGCUAAUCUACCACCCAUGCAGGGGCAUAGCUAGGGGAGCGGAGCCGCGUCCACUCCUUUCCCUGCGGUCCCCUGGAGUGAGGGAGACAAUGAAGAAAAGAAGGAGGGGUGGAGGCCCUCAGGAGCUGGGGAGCCGGAGGGUUUGAACCCAUCCGCUCCCCUGCACCACACACCUCGGCACUGCCGCUACCACCACCCCCGCCCCUACAGGAUCCUCACUGGGACAAACCUCUCAACAACAAAACAUACAAUAUUACUAGACAGGAUACAACAAUAGCAUAAUAGGACACUGAGCUGCUUUUCUCAUAAUGACAGAAGAUGCAUGUACAGAGCUUGACGUAUAUUACCUGCAGUCUCAAAAAUAGUGGGCAAGCAUAACUGGGCAGGAUCAGACAGAAAACAGUGCUCCUAAUGUCGCUUUGAUGUGGUUUAGAGUGGAUUCUGCUUAUCUGCAACAUUGAAUACAGAGAAGCAAGAAGCUUUUGGUGGGCCACUGGAGCAUAGCCAAAGAAUGGAUUCUUUGAAUUGACUUUGGAUAUUAGAAGGCCAGCUUCACCUGUGUGUAAAAUUGUAAAGAGAAACAAAGAUGCAAGGCAUUGUGGUCCAUUUGCCAGGUAGAAAAGCAGCAUUUUGAAACUCUGCUACUUGCUGCUGCUGAUAGGACUGAAGAUUUCUUAGAAGAAGGAAAGAGAGCCUGCUGCUCACCUGCUAGUUUACAGGAAAGUAAAGUGAAGAAUGAUUGAACUAUGCCAACAGAUAUUGGGAGGGUGGCUGCAGCCACUAGCCUAAAGAGUAAGAGGGACAUGUUUUGCAUGUAAAUUGAAUUUGUUCAAGCCAUAAUUAUUAUUAUUAGUUAAUAAAUAAAAAUUAUUAUUUAUAAUUACUAUUACUUAUAGUUAAUAAUAUUUAAUAAUAAUAUUAAGUUAGACAAAUAGGUUUCCAUUGCAGAUUAGCUCUGCAGUAUUAAAAGAUAUACAACAUUUACCAGACCAUGAGAGCAUUUGUGUUUAGACAUAGCAGGUUUAUCUAUCCAUUACCUCUAUUUAUAAUUCCCAUAGAUUUUUUUAAAAAUCAAACCAGAAACCCCCUUUCUCUCCAAAAGCAUCAGUGGAGGACCUGGUCUGGAUUGAGACCAUGUAGGAGCAGGGUUAACCCUAAGUUUUUUAAUCUUGCGCCAUUUUCUCAUCAAAUAUCACCCAAACCCAAGCUGCAGAAAAUACUUUUGGGGUAAAUAGCAGCUUGGGAAUGAUUUUCAGCAGGAAAUAUUUAAAAUGUCAAAAUGGUACUUAGGGAGCAUAGCAAAUGCUAUUCAAAUGCCUUUUCCUUAUGCUGUUAUUAAAAUCAUUCCAGUAUCAACAUAAACAAAAGUGUUCAUAAUUUAUGUUUUAAUAGAGCACUGUCUCAUCAGAAACCACUUCUGUGGUUUGCAACAGAUGGCCUUCUCAUGUAAACUGGUUAACUCAUGUCAUAUGACUAUCAAAGGACGGGACAAAAAAUCAUUUAGUGAAUGUAAAAAAGGGAGUGGGGUUUUUUCUCUGCUUGGAAUGCAAAGGCUUUAAAUGUUUAUGGCAUAUGAGAAGUUCUUACCUAACACCAGCAAAACAACCUUCAAAACUGACACAAUUUAAAUGCAUAACCUGCCUUCCAAUUCUUUUAACAUGGUGAAUCUUACCUAGGAGUCCCCUCCUGUGUGCUGUAAAUUUGGUUUCUGUC